UUCACUCCACAUACUCAAUCCUAUAGACACCUUUUUAAUCCUUCAAUCACAGACGUAACUCGAUUUCACAAAACAGUCAAGAGUAAUCAAACCCACUUCAUUAAAAAAAAUCCCGAUUCACCAUUACAACACUGACUUCAGCAACGAUUGCCUCAGUCUUUCCAAAACUCUAUGAAGAAGAAAAAUCCAAUUCUCCGUCUUUUCUUCCCCGACCCGAAGCAUGAAGCUCCUCUCCAAU
rnacentral:lncRNA from 1 species